ensembl:lncRNA
CCAGGUGCCGCGCUCCCCACCGAAGCCCCACGCCCGCCUCCUCCAGCUGGGCGCCAAACGUCGCCACCCCUGCAUCCCCCAGAGAAAAGCUUCCAGCCGGCCCGGGGCUAGGCGUAACGCAGGGCCGAGGCGACGAGCAGAGCCAGGACGCGGGCCUCAGUUUACCCGCGGUGUCCAGAACCAUGCUUUUGGAAGCGGCAAGAUGGCUGCCAGCAACUCUAGGCUCCAUCCUCACAGCCCAAGUCCUCAUUUCUUUCAGCUGUCCCAGAAAAAGCCAAGGUUGCAUCAAGUUGGCUCUGAGUGGGUCACAUAUCAUUGUUUGGACCUGAAUCCUAUGCCCGACCCUGGAGAUGAUCCCAUCCAAACCACAGUGAUGAAGAGUGAGGAAGGGUGACGUCAGAGCACUGUUUGCAAUUAGAAGGUGAAUGGACCCAGAGCUGUGUGCCAAGCACACAGAAAGUUCAUGAAAAGUAUCGGCCAUUGUUGAGGACCUUCAUCAUGUUUCAGGGGUGCCCAACACCUUUUGAGCAUUCUUCUGUGUUUGAGGAACUUUCCGUGUCACGAAUCCUGCACCCUGUACUCCAAAGCCAGAAGCAGUCUUUCCCAGUCUCCCUUGCAGCUGGGGAGCUGGCAUCAUCCAGGCCCUGCAACCAAAGGCACCAGGGAGGAUUUUCAUGUGGAAGAGACCAAUGCGAGGAGACACACGUCACCCAGAACCCAUUCAGGAGGGCGGUAGCAAGGAUGGUGCUGGAGGCAUCUGGCUUUAGGGACAACAGUGGCAGAGGUGCUGGAGUACUUGCCAAAGUCUGGCCUGACUCCUGCCCUUUUCCCCACUCAUACCACCAACCCCUGGAAACCUUGUCAAUCUCCAGCCUAACCCUGAACAGUAGCCACCACACAGGAUUUGGGGAAACCAAGAAAAACAAAACCUCCCCAGCUCUCCGAGGAGCCAUGCACUCAGCUUCAGUCAGGAGACCUCUUCUGAGCCCUGAGUCCAUGCCAAGCAUGCUGGGCCAUCGACGUCAGCAGCAGAGGAGGUGACCUCGGCCCAGCUGACUGUCCCACGGCAUCCCAGACAUCAGAGCAGGACAGCCCAGGACCUCCUGGCUCUGGUCUUCGUGGCAAUAUGUCUUGAUAGCAGCACCAAAGGCCAGUGACUCAGCUGAGGAGGAAAAGGCCUUACACGUGGGAGAUUGGCCAGUUCGUCGUUGUUUCCCCACAGACUUGAAAACUGGAAUUGAGCCAUGUAGGCAAAUGGAGUAGGCCUCAAGAAGAUCCUUGUGACAACCCUAGAAGACAUGAGCCAGGGAGAGAAAGGAGAGUCCAGGGUCCUUUCCAAACGCUGUGGGCAGGAGCGAAGAUCAAGAUACACGAAACUCAAUAUUCAAAUUCAGACUCAGAAAAAGUACGUUUGAAGGAUGUUGUUUGCCUUGCACAAUAAUCUUUCAUUAGAAACAGCAUUUCAUUCUCGGCAAUUUCCGGGGUUUGCUUAUAGAUCUGUCACUAGUUAAGAGAGAAGACACCCCAGAGUUCAUAGCUCUAGGAACAUCUGCCCCAGAGAAUGGCAGCUGUGGUCACCUACAAGUUGCAGAUCAGCCCUAGUGCCCUUAGUUCCUUCACCCUAGUUGAGAGCGUCUCAAACCUUUAGAAAUCACCUGGAGAGCUUGUGAAAAACACAGAUGGCUGGGCCCCACCCCGAGUUUCUGAUUCAAUAGGUUUGGAAUGGGGCCUGAUCAUUUGCAUUUCUAACAAGUUCCCAAGUGAUGCUCUUGCUGCUGGUCCAGGAAGCUCACGCUGGGAAUCACUGAUGGAGUUAGACACACCUGCCUGCGCCCUCUGCCCACACCCCAGAGGACUUGGCUAGAGAGCGCUGCUGGGGAGCACUCCAUCUUUAUGCCCUUUAUAUCCCGGACGAUAGGGCUCCACAGGACACUCUGCAUUGCCUGGUGCACACGCUGCACAUGCUGUGGGUGUUGCCUUUCCCACUGUCUGCUAUGACUUGUUCACCCCUUCUCUGUCCUCAAACCUCCAACACCUCCUCAUGUGCCCAGCCCAGCUGGUGAGGAAAACAGCUGCCAUCUUCUUCAUUGCUUCUCAAUUCAUUGAGGAAACAGAUGCCAUCAUCUUCCCAACACCAAAUCUUGAGAACCGCCUGCCUGGGGCCCACUCUCUCUGCCCAUCCUCUCAGAGAUGGAGGAGGUGUCCUGCUCCCACCCAAGGCCAUUCACACCACUUAUGUCCCUCCUCCUUAAGUUCUCCCUUGUCUUCUUUGUCUUCCCUCACUCCCUUUCUUAUGGGAAUAGUGGACCAUUCCCACAAGCAUACAAACAUCUUCUAGCAUCUCUUAUCUUUUUUUUUAAAGGGCUACCCCAGACCUCCUUACCCGCCUCCAGCUACCACCCCAUUGCUCACCUGCCAUUCACAGCAAACCUUCUUCAAAGUAUUGUAGCUAGUUCCCAUCACCACUUUCUCCCUUCCCAACCCACUGGAGUCUGCCUUCCUUCCUUAGCAUGCUGCUGAAACCCCAACAACUCCCUCAUUGCCAAAUCCAGGGGUCCUCACCUCAGUCUCUCAGAAACAUUCAAGACCACUGACCACCUCCUGCCGGGAAGGCUUUCUGCUCUUGGCUUCUCCUGGUUUUCCUCCUACCUCACUG